ensembl:lncRNA
GUUGGUUGGACCAAUGAACUCAAAGUGCAUGUGUGCUAAGUUUCUUCAGUUGGGUCUGACUCUGUGACCCUAUGGACCAUAUCCCGCCAGGCUCCUCAGUCCAUGGGAUUCUCCAGGCAAGAAUACUGGAGUGGGUUGGCAUGCCCUCCUCCAGAAGAUCUUCCCGAUCCAGGGAUCGAACCUGCAUCUUUAACUUCUCCCGGAUUGGAAGGGAAAAAAAAUAAUUGUUUGGCUGUGGUACAUAGGGGAAUCUUAGUUCUCCCACCAAGGAUGUAACCCACACCCCCUGCAGUGGAAAGGCGGAAUCUUAGCCACUGGACCACCAGGGAAGUCCCUGGUAUGUUUUUGAGAAGCCUUUCUUCUGUAAAUUGCCUACUGGUGUUCUUGCUCAUUGUAUUUUCCUUAUUUAUCUAUGAACAAUUUCUUAAUUACAGGAAUUAAAUUCAAAAUGUGUCACAGUAUUCCCUCCCCGUUUGCCUUUUAAUUUUUAAAUAAUUUAAAAUAUGUAAAGCUUAUCAUAUUUUCCCUUUAGUGUCUCCAGGUUUAUUGUGAUACUUAGGGCUGAAAAAACAUUCAUCGACUCCCCAGCACAUUUUUUGUGUUGCUUCUUUCUUAGAUUUGAACGUUUGAUCCAUCUGGAUUUUAUUUUGGUGUUAAGCGUGAGCCAACUUCUACUUUUCCAAAUGGCCGGCCAGUCGUCCUAACGUCGUUUGAUUGAAAAAAGACUGAAAAACCUUUUCCGGGGUUUGAAGAGACCACUCCACCAGCACGCUUCAAGCUAGCGCGUUUGCCGGGGCCCGCGCGGUCCAAGGACCCCUCGCCGCCAGGUUUCCGCGGCCCAUCUGCCCGGCCAGAUCCAGUCGGAGGAGGCGAAGGGAAGGUGGUGGAGUGGAUAUUCCGCUGCUGAGAACUAUUCCACUCCUACCAGCCGCCGACCGACCACUAACCCCCUUUUCCCACCCUUGCGCUCAGGACAAACCCCAGACACCACUACCGCGACUUCACCUCCACCCUCCGAGGACAAAGCCCCCUGACCCACGUCGAGGAAGUCUCUCUUACCUCCCAUCUCCUCCCUCUCAGCUCCCCGCCCCCCCCAACCCUAGUCCCUCCUCCCGGGUGGUCCCAGGAACGGGAGGGGACUUUCUACUAGGGUAAUUUAAAUAAAAG